UGGAGAGUUUGAUCCUGGCUCAGAUUGAACGCUGGCGGCAUGCUUUACACAUGCAAGUCGAACGGCAGCACGGGCUUCGGCCUGGUGGCGAGUGGCGAACGGGUGAGUAAUGCAUCGGAACGUGCCCAUUUGUGGGGGAUAACUACGCGAAAGCGUGGCUAAUACCGCAUACGCCCUGAGGGGGAAAGCGGGGGAUUCUUCGGAACCUCGCGCAAUUGGAGCGGCCGAUGUCAGAUUAGCUUGUUGGUGAGGUAAAGGCUCACCAAGGCGACGAUCUGUAGCGGGUCUGAGAGGAUGAUCCGCCACACUGGGACUGAGACACGGCCCAGACUCCUACGGGAGGCAGCAGUGGGGAAUUUUGGACAAUGGGGGCAACCCUGAUCCAGCCAUGCCGCGUGAGUGAAGAAGGCCUUCGGGUUGUAAAGCACUUUUGUUCGGGAAGAAAUCAUGCUGGUUAAUACCUGGUAUGGAUGACGGUACCGAAAGAAUAAGCACCGGCUAACUUCGUGCCAGCAGCCGCGGUAA
rnacentral:rRNA from 1 species